UACGAAGGGGGCGAGCGUUGUUCGGAUUUACUGGGCGUAAAGGGCGCGCAGGCGGCUAUCCAAGUCAGGCGUGAAAGCCCCGGGCUUAACCUGGGAGGUGCGUCUGGGACUGGGUGGCUAGAGUUCGGGAGAGGAGAGUGGAAUUCCCAGUGUAGAGGUGAAAUUCGUAGAUAUUGGGAAGAACACCGGUGGCGAAGGCGGCUCUCUGGACCGAGACUGACGCUGAGGAGCGAAAGCGUGGGGAGCGAACAGG
rnacentral:rRNA from 1 species